AUUGAACGCUGGCGGCAUGCUUUACACAUGCAAGUCGAACGGUAACAGGCCGCAAGGUGCUGACGAGUGGCGAACGGGUGAGUAAUGCAUCGGAACGUGCCCAGUCGUGGGGGAUAACGCAGCGAAAGCUGCGCUAAUACCGCAUACGAUCUAUGGAUGAAAGCGGGGGACCGUAAGGCCUCGCGCGAUUGGAGCGGCCGCUGUCAGAUUAGGUAGUUGGUGGGGUAAAGGCUCACCAAGCCAACGAUCUGUAGCUGGUCUGAGAGGAAGACCAGCCACACUGGGACUGAGACACGGCCCAGACUCCUACGGGAGGCAGCAGUGGGGAAUUUUGGAAAAUGGGAGCAAGCCUGAUCCAGCAAUGCCGCGUGCAGGAAGAAGGCCUUCGGGUUGUAAACUGCUUUUGUACGGAGCGAAAAGGCUCUGGUUAAUACCUGGGGCUCAUGACGGUACCGUAAGAAUAAGCACCGGCUAACUACGUGCCAGCAGCAGCCGCCGUAA
rnacentral:rRNA from 1 species